rnacentral:rRNA from 1 species
AGAACGAACGCUGGCGGCAUGCCUAAUACAUGCAAGUCGAACGGACACUUCGGUGUUAGUGGCGCACGGGUGCGUAACGCGUGGGAAUCUGCCCUUGGGUUCGGAAUAACAGUUGGAAACGACUGCUAAUACCGGAUGAUGACGAAAGUCCAAGAUUUAUCGCCCAGGGAUGAGCCCGCGUAGGAUUAGCUAGUUGGUGAGG